GAUGAACGCUGGCGGCGUGCCUAAUACAUGCCAGUCGAGCGAACAGAUGAGGAGCUUGCUCCUCUGACGUUAGCGGCGGACGGGUGAGUAACACGUGGAUAACCUACCUAUAAGACUGGGAUAACUUCGGGAAACCGGAGCUAAUACCGGAUAAUAUAUUGAACCGCAUGGUUCAAUAGUGAAAGACGGUUUUGCUGUCACUUAUAGAUGGAUCCGCGCCGCAUUAGCUAGUUGGUAAGGUAACGGCUUACCAAGGCAACGAUGCGUAGCCGACCGGAGAGGCGGAUAGGCCACACUGGAACUGAGACACGGUCCAGACUCCUACGGGAGGCAGCAGUAGGGAAUCUUCCGCAAUGGGCGAAAGCCUGACGGAGCAACGCCGCGUGAGUGAUGAAGGUCUUCUGAGCGUAAAACUCUGUUAUUAGGGAAGAACAAAUGUGUAAGUAACUAUGCACGGCUUGACGGUACCUAAUCAGAAAGCCACGGCUAACUACGUG
rnacentral:rRNA from 1 species